UUCGACUCUUCGGUCUUCCUCUUCCUGCUUCCUAAAACUGCCUUCUCUAUUUCCUUCUCCCCUUAAUGGCUUAACCCUAAUACCUUCUCCAAAGUCCAUAGCCCAAACUCCAAUCUUGAUCCAUAGCAAUCAGCAAAAAGGAAGCUUGAAGUCUUUCUACUCACCGCACCGGUUCUAAGCCAAAAAACUCUGGAAUUCAAGCUAUUACCAGGAACAUACUCCCUCUAGAGUUGACACUCAAGAGACUCGGUCUCCCGAUCGUAUCCCGCUGCCUCUGCUGUGGGCGGCAUGAGGAGUCGCGGAGGCAUCUGUUUAUUAUGAGCCCUGUUGCUUUCCAAGUUUGGAGAUAUUUUAGGAGGCGGUUUGGUAUUAUCGACUCCGUAUUCUCGUCUGUCUUGUCUCUAUUACUCUCCUGGUUGUACUCUAGCUCGGUGGGAAAGGUGCGUCACAUUCGGGUAGUGGUUCCGCUACUUGUGUUUUGGUGUCUGUGGAAAGCCAGAAAUAAUGCUAGAUUUGGGGGCAUGUGGUUCGAGGUCCCUAGCGUGAUUUUGAUGGUGGAACAGAUGAUCGAGCAGUUAGGCACAGCGGGUGUGCUCUCGGCCAUACAUUUUACAGGCGAUACCGAAGAUCCAUGGGCGGCGCUAACGUCCCAUCCCACCCGUAGAAGGGAUUGUGUCGCGGUCUCGUGGAAACGUCUUCCACCUCUAGCUUUUAAAUUGAACACGGAUGCCAGUAUUUCCUAGGGGCGGAUAUCCGGAGAUGACAUCCUCAGAGACUCAUGUGGGCGGGUUGUGUUUGCUUUCUACAAGGAAUUUGGUGAUAGGGAGGUCCUCAUCGCAGAAAGUUUGGCAUUACUAUAGGGUCUAUGCUAGGAACGGCACAUCCAAAGGCUUCUAGUGGAGGUUGAUUCACAAGUUUUGGUCCAAUUGAUCCAUUCAAGGAGGGUGUCAAAGUGGCCGCUAUGCAACACGCUGCGUCGGAUAUGCCAUCUUCUUACCUCACUGUCGUCUUCAGUGUCUCACAUCUUUCGGGAGGCUAACAGUCCUGCUGAUAUGCUGGCAAACUUGCGGUGGGAGACUGAAUGGUUCUGCACGUCUUCUCAGCAACUAUCGAGUUUGGUAUAGGCUUCUGUACUACUCGAUGCUAGGGAAUUCUCGUCUGUACAACUUCAAUUUGCCUCACAUUAAUGCCCUCGGGUUUAUGCUCUAGAUAGCUGUCUAGUUGGAAGGGAUCUGUGUAAUCUUGGCUCUUGGUCUGAUUUUCAAUAAAGUUGGUUUUUCAUAGUACA